AAAAGAGGACUAUGCAUGCGACCAGGCCUAUGGAAACCCCGAGAUCAGCCAUUAUCCUGGAGUAGCUGUGUGCUCAGGAGCCACAGGAUACCUCUGCCGGGACGUCGACCAAACAGUGACCUCAAGUUCUGUCCCAUACGGGGCUGUUUCAAUAGAGAUGGCCGACAACGACAUCUGCAGACUGCUGGCAUGAAUGCACCCGGCAAAAUCCAAAUGCUAGUUUCACCUGAGGUGCAAUAUGCUGCACACUGACACCUACAGCUUGUCAGCUUGUCUUUGUGACUACAUCAUUAAAUGGAGGUAGGUUGAUUCAAGAACGCAUGACUUUCUUUUUUUAUUUAUGAUAAAUCCACCGGAGAAUUGGUGCGCACGUACAAGUCCACACGAGGACCCCCUCCCUGGCAAACUGUUGUCAGCAUUCAUCACCUUGGAGGCUGAAGGGGCAUACGGCAAUGAAUCGCUUUGUUACAUUUGUUGGACAGGGAUGAAUCCUUCUGUUAAUUGCAGGUUCAUUCUUAGACUCAUGCUUCCCCAACGCCGUAGGAGUGUCCCACCUGACUAUUUUUCAGACCAGGGCCGUACACUUCACUUUGUGUUGACGUUACCGUGAUAUUGAUGGGUAUUUGAUGGCAGAUUUGGUUGAUUAUAUUUUCCUUAUAGGAGGUACGUAGGGCCUUUAGAAAGAGGGGGAGAGCCCCAACCCCGUCACCCAAGGGCCAUGCGUGGUUGUGUCCGUACAGGAGCCCAAUGAGACCACCAGAAGAAGCCUGAACACAAGGAGAGACGGACAAACAAGGCCCUGGGCAGACUCACUAAUACAAGAGAGGGAGUCUCGGGGUAUGGUGGUAUGGUCAGGGAUUUAACAGGGUGUUUUAAGUGCCAUUUUGUGUUUUCAUCAAACAGUUUAGCUUUGUUCACACGCUUUUUUUUUUUUUUUUUUUUACAAAUCCAUCAUAAUCAAUUUGACAACAGUACAAAAAUAAUGGAGUGACCCUGCAUGGAGCAGGGGGGGACGGACGGACAGGGGUUGGGCUCGUCUUCAUUUUGUGUUCUACAUAAAAUGUAGAUUUACAUUUUAUGCAUACUAGACACACACAGGCUUGAGGCACGCAGGCAUUUCAGAAACAUGAGGAAUUCUAGAUUGUACAAUUAUGAGAGGCUUGAGCUGAUGAACAUCCAGAAGUCAUUGAGGAACUUGGACGGGAAGCGCUUUUGGAUUUUAUUAGAUUUAUUUGAAAAAGUACCAUUUCAGAUACAGGAAUACCUGGGAAGAGGAGGGAACGCUGCCCCUCUCUGGAGCGAGCGAGCCUUUACAUCCAUCGAAGGGAGGAGAGUGGAGACAGUUGGAGAGGAGGGGCCAAGCUCAGCCUCACCUGAACGACCACCCACGUCUUUCAAAGCAAGGAAACUCGUUUUCACUUCAUGGCUCAAAUAAUGUAUAAUGCUUUGUAUUUUGACAUUUUCCGAACUUUCCUUUACCUUCCCAGCAACAGAUGGUAGAAGAGCUCACUCCAGUUGAGAAACCCUUGGCUUCUUUUCAGGAUUUACCAACAGAGAUUAUGGAGGUCAUUCUGGGCCACCUCUCAGUGCGUGAUGCGCUGUCAGUGGGGGCGACUUGUAGCAGAUACAACCGGGCGAGUCACAGUCCCUGGGUCUGGAUGAGAUUCUGCAGCAGCAUGCCAGACCUCUACCAGCCCAGAGACUGGCAGCGCCUUGCCAUACUUAAACGUGGCGGUGUCGUUGAGGCCUGUGGCUGUGUGCUGUAGGCUCCGCCGCACUCUGCUCCUGCUUCAGGACGAGUCCGGCGCUAAGGAGCUCCGGAGGCCGCCUGCCGGGCUGCCCCGGAGGGCGGCCCCGUGUUUCAGAAGCUCAAGGUCCAGGUGUCCCGGACUGCCUGCUCUGUCUGCGCCUCUUCAUCCUGAGCAGCCAUGACACCAGAGAGCAGCUUGACGCCGUCUGACAGUGGGCCACACGCCACAACCUUCCCCACCAUUACAAACUCCUGGUCCUCACCGAUAAAGCUCUCCACCAUCUGGCCCCUCCCAUAUCUUUCUGACCUCCUCUCCCCCUGUCAAACCCCCCGGUCCCGCAGAUCCUCCUCAGCCGGUCUCCUCCUAUCACCUCCACCACCAUCAUCACCCCCACCAUCUCCUCCGAUACCACCUUCACCAGCACCACCGUCAUCACCCCCCCCCCCCCCCCCCCACAACACCACCACCACCAUCAUCAUCCCCCCUACCUCCUCCAAUACCUCCAUCACCACCAUCAACACCACCAUCUCCUCCGAUACCACCAGCACCACCUUAAACCUCCACCGCCAUCACCACCACCACAACCACCACUCCUGCUACGACCGCUGAUGCCACUGCUGCUGCUGUAUCUGAUUUCAUGCCACCAAAAAUGCCUUUUUGCAACCUUGCAAUACUGUAGGCAUUUCUCUUUAGUCAUCUGAAGAAAUACCUUUGUGCCAUCUUUAACUCUUUCUCUUCAUUUCAGUUAAAAACGAAUUGGAUUUGGUGGCACUGGAAUCAAACUUGUACACUGUGAGAGCAAGUGAAGAAUAAACAGAUAAACUGA